GAUGAACGCUGGCGGCGUGCCUAACACAUGCAAGUCGAGCGAACGGACGAGGAGCUUGCUUGUUUGUUGUUUGCGGCGGACGGGUGUAUAACACGUGGAUAACCUCCCUAUAAGACUGGGAUAACUUCGGGAAACCGGAGCUAAUACCGGAGAAUAUCUUGAACCGCAUGGUUCAAAAGUGAAAGACGGUCUUGCUGUAACGUAUCGCUGCAUACCAGCUGCUUUAUCUAGUUGUUAAGGUCAAGGCUUACCAAGGCAACGAUGCAUACACGACCUGAAUGGGUGAUCGGCCGCCUUGGAAGUUAGACACGGUCAAGACUCCUACGGGAGGCAGCAGUAGGGAAUCUUCCGCAGUGGGCGAAAACCUGACGGAGCAACGCCGCGUAAGAUAUGGAGGCCUUCGGAUCGUAAAACUCUGUUAUUAGGGAAGAACAUAUGUGUAAUUAAAUGUGCACAUCUUGACGGUACCUAAUCAGAAAGCCACGGCUAACUACGUG
rnacentral:rRNA from 1 species